rnacentral:rRNA from 1 species
AGUGAACGCUGGCGGUAGGCCUAACACAUGCAAGUCGAACGGCAGCACAGUAAGAGCUUGCUCUUACGGGUGGCGAGUGGCGGACGGGUGAGGAAUACAUCGGAAUCUACUUUUUCGUGGGGGAUGACGUAGGGAAACUUACGCUAAUACCGCAUACGACCUACGGGUGAAAGCAGGGGAUCUUCGGACCUUGCGCGAUUGAAUGAGCCGAUGUCGGAUUAGCUAGUUGGCGGGGUAAAGGCCCACCAAGGCGACGAUCCGUAGCUGGUCUGAGAGGAUGAUCAGCCACACCGGAACUGAGACACGGUCCAGACUCCUACGGGAGGCAGCAGUGGGGAAUAUUGGACAAUGGGCGCAAGCCUGAUCCAGCCAUACCGCGUGGGUGAAGAAGGCCUUCGGGUUGUAAAGCCCUUUUGUUGGGAAAGAAAAGCAGCAGGUUAAUACCCCGCUGUUCUGACGGUACCCAAAGAAUAAGCACCGGCUAACUUCGUG